UACGGGGGGGGCAAGCGUUGUUCGGAAUUACUGGGCGUAAAGGGCUCGUAGGUGGCCAACUAAGUCAGACGUGAAAUCCCUCGGCUUAACCGGGGAACUGCAUCUGAUACUGGAUGGCUUGAGUUUGGGAGAGGGAUGCGGAAUUCCAGGUGUAGCGGUGAAAUGCGUAGAUAUCUGGAGGAACACCGGUGGCGAAGGCGGCAUCCUGGACCAAUACUGACACUGAGGAGCGAAAGCCAGGGGAGCAAACGGG
rnacentral:rRNA from 1 species